rnacentral:rRNA from 1 species
GUGCCAGCAGCCGCGGUAAUACCAGCACCCCGAGUGGUCGGGACGAUUAUUGGGCCUAAAGCAUCCGUAGCCGGUCCUGCAAGUCUUCCGUUAAAUCCAGCUGCUCAACAGAUGGGCUGCGGGGGAUACUACAGGGCUAGGAGGCGGGAGAGGCAAGCGGUACUUUAUGGGUAGGGGUAAAAUCCGUUGAUCCAUAGAAGACCACCAGUGGCGAAGGCGGCUUGCCAGAACGCGCUCGACGGUGAGGGAUGAAAGCUGGGGGAGCAAACCGGAUUAGAAACCCCGGUAGUCC